rnacentral:lncRNA from 11 species
UCCUCUAUCGAUUACGAUGUUAAACGAUCCUGAAAAUACUUUUCGUUUCCUUCGUCACGGAUCCAACUUGGUCUAUCCCAAUAAUAGAGAGGCCACUUCAGCCACCAAUUUAAUUUCGAAAACAAUUCCAAAAUCGCUACACUCCCGUCACAGAUUUAACACCACGUUAGCACAGAAAUCCACUACAGACUCGAAAGUACAUACUAUUGCAGCUACUAUAUAGCAUCGUCGGAGAUGCAACGGUUUCGAAGCGUCUCGAUGCCAGUUUCUUGAUGCUAGCAGAUAGUAACACAAUGCGCGUCGCAAAAAGAUGUUCUAACAGAGCCAGGCGGCUCGUUCGACGUCUACCGAGUACGAUUAAUUGCUAAGACGGCGGACAUUAAUUGCCAGUGCCGCGACCACAGCUCGUGUGACUAUUAAUUACGGAUGUAGACGACGGCGGGAUCGGACUUCGAAGUGCAGGAACAAGACGCGCGUUCGCUAGACUGUGAACAGGUGAACCUCGGCGCGGUAAUGGGAUCGUAAUAGAUCGUAAAAUCGGCUGAAUACCUUCUCGGAUGUUAUCUUCGUUUUUCCGAAUCGAAAUCAAAUACGAAAGUGUCGUACGGUGGACGUUGGAACUUGCAACGGUUCGAUGUUCCAACAAAAAUGUCAAGGAAAAUUCAGCGUUUAAACUCGGACGAGAACUGCAAGUUUAAAUAAAAAUAUCAAGGAAAAUGUAGCAUUUUUAAACUGGAAGGGAAACUCGAAGUUUGAAUAAAUAAAAAUGUCAAGGAAAAUUCAGCUUCUGAACUCGAUGUUGGAACAAAGAUGUCAAGGAAAAUUCUGUUUCUAAACACCAAUGAAAACUCUCGGUACAAGGAGACAAAGAGUCACUUGUCGUCAUGCAGUCGUCACGUAGUCGUCUUGUCUAAAACACACAGCCUUGUAGAAAAGUCAUUGAGAACAUGGCAAUUGUCAACAGCAGUAUUAAUCAGUUUACCGAUAAUGCAAUGGAGCAUCUUGGAAAAAUGAUCCAGCACCAAAUUAUGAGCAAUUCUACUUUUUUCCGAGAGACGUCCGAAUAAUUGCUGCCAUUGCCGUAUUUUUUAAUAUUUCUCCGUGAAAAUUUUAUACAAUAUUCUUCGAAUGUCAUACUUUAACGUACUAUUGGUUUUAAUAAAGAGACUUUAACUGUGUCGUCACAAAUAAUUCACAAAAACAUGCCUUAUUUUUGUACGAAUUAAAGUUAGCCCCCCCUUAAUUAAAAAAUUCCUACGCGUGUUAGAUUGUUGAGAAACGUCAAAGAAUAAUAUCGGUACGUGCAUCG